rnacentral:rRNA from 1 species
GACGUAGGAGGCGAGCGUUGUCCGGAUUCAUUGGGCGUAAAGAGCACGCAGGCGGUUUUGUAAGCCAGAUGUGAAAUCCCCGGGCUUAACCUGGGAAUGGCAUUUGGGACUGCAAGGCUGGAGUUUGGCAGAGGAGACUGGAAUUCCCGGUGUAGCAGUGAAAUGCGUAGAUAUCGGGAGGAAUACCGAUGGCGAAGGCAGGUCUCUGGGCUAUAACUGACGCUCAUGCACGAAAGCGUGGGGAGCAAACAGG